rnacentral:rRNA from 1 species
CGAACCUGGGGCAUGCCUACACAUGCAAGUCGUCCGGAGAGUGGGGCGACUCACUCUCAGUGGCAAACGGGUGAGUAACACGUGAAUAACCUGCCUUUGAGAAGGGGAUAACUGUCCGAAAGGAUAGCUAAUACCCUGUAUUGCCUUUUGUCACUAAGGCAAAAGGUGAAAGCGAGGCUGUCAAAGGCUUCGGCUCAAAGAGGGGUUCGCGUCCUAUCAGGUAGUUGGUGGGGUAAUGGCCUACCAAGCCAAUGACGGGUAGCUGGUCUUAGAGGAUAAUCAGCCACAGUGGGAACUGAGACACGGCCCGCACAGCCUACGGGGGGCAGCAGUGGGGAAUCGUGGGCAAUGGGCGCAAGCCUGACCCCGCAAUGCCGCGUGAGGGAAGAAGCCCUUCGGGGUGUAAACCUCUGUCAGAUGGGAAGAUGGGACUAGGGGCUAAUACAUCCUAGUCUUGACGGUACCAUCAGAGGAAGGGACGGCUAACUACGUGCCAGCAGCCGCGGUAAU